rnacentral:lncRNA from 1 species
AUUUUGAAAUAGCUAUUCGCAACAUUGCUACGUAUUAUAUUGUGAGUAACUAGUUAUUUCCAAAAAAAAUCCCCGUCGAAUCUAGAAAUGGGCCACCAAAAGAAAGUAUGAUAAAGAAAGACCAAACGAUGUGUUUUCACGUGGGUGGACGUGGACACAUUGAUGACAACCAUGAAAACACUGGUUCCAUGUUCCUUCAGGCUUUAGAGAUAUUUUCUUUCUAAAAAAAUCCUUAACAAAAUAAUCCUUACUACUAAUGCAAUCUCUCUAAAUUAAUGUUACUUAGUGAAAUAUUAAAUAUAAACAAAAAGAAUAAUGACGCGUUUGAAGAAGUUUGAAGCUAAGCUAAAUUUACCUGACUGAUAUGCACGACGGAGAUGUUGUAAGGCAUCUCGACGACCGACUUAACGAAAAGAGCGUCCAUCUUGCCGUCAUUCUCCUC